GAGCUACCACGCCGCCCGUUCCUGGAGCUUGAGAAGCUUCGGCCAUUUCCUCCACCACUUCCUCCUCCUCGCUGCGAUUCUACUAACUCAGGUACCAGAAAUAUAAUGGACAUGCACCAUCAGAACUGAUUGCCCUAAGAAAUCCUGUUCUGUGUUUUGUCAUUAAGGCACAGUAAACAUGGUACAAUCUCACUGGCAUUUGCUGAAAAAGCGUGGGCAUGAGAAUCUGCAGCGCGCUCCCCACUCCACAGUAAUUGACAGUGUACCCAAACUCUGCUAGAUACAGAUCCCAGUUCGUCCAGCCCGACCUGUGCGUCCAGAACGAUGGAUAUAGGACUCCACAUCCUUCAAAAUAAAU